rnacentral:siRNA from 1 species
UGAAAUUAUUUCUUGGAUCCGCCA